UACAGAGGGUGCAAGCGUUGUUCGGAAUCAUUGGGCGUAAAGGGCGUGUAGGCGGUUUGUUAAGUCAUGUGUGAAAUCCCUCGGCUCAACCGGGGAACGACGCAUGAAACUGGCAAGCUAGAGUACCAAAGAGGGCGGUGGAAUUCCCGGUGUAGCGGUGAAAUGUGUAGAGAUCGGGAGGAACACCGGUGGCGAAGGCGGUCUCUGGACGGUGACUGACGCUGAGGCGCGAAAGCGUGGGGAGCAAACGGG
rnacentral:rRNA from 1 species